rnacentral:tRNA from 1 species
UAGAUGUUAGUAAAAUAUUACGAGGUCCUGUCACGACUUAAUUAUUAGUUAAACCUAAUACAUCUAC